GCCCGUAGCUUAGCCAGGUGGAGCGUCUGGCUCAUAACCAGAUGGUCGCCGGUUCAAAUGUAUGGCUUGCAGGCA
rnacentral:tRNA from 1 species